UCCGUAGGUGAACCUGCGGAAGGAUCAUUAGUGAUUGACCUUCGGGUCUUAAUAACUAUAAUCUUCUACCUCUGUGAACCGUUGGUCUUCGGACCGAUUCUUAUAACAAACAUCUGUGUAAUGAACGUAACCUAUAUUAAUCAUAUAAAACUUUUAACAACGGAUCUCUUGGCUCUCGCAUCGAUGAAGAACGCAGCGAAAUGCGAUAAGUAAUGUGAAUUGCAGAAUUCAGUGAAUCAUCGAAUCUUUGAACGCACCUUGCGCCUUUUGGUAUUCCGAAAGGCAUGCCUGUUUGAGUGUCAUGAAAUAUCAACCCCUCCUGGUUUCUGAUCAGUGUUGGGCUUGGACUUGGGUGUCUGCCAGGACUUGUCCUGGCUCGCCUUAAAUGACUUAGUGGGAAUAGCAUCCACGGCUAAGACGUAAUAAGUUUCGUCUGGUCAAGGUGUGAAGCCUGCUCAUAACCCGACCGCAAGGUCACUAUUUAUGCUCUGACCUCAAAUCAGGUAGGACUACCCGCUGAACUUAAGCAUAUCAAUAAGCGGAGGA
rnacentral:rRNA from 1 species